UGCUUUACACAUGCAAGUCGAACGGCAGCACGAGCAGCAGCUUGCUCUCUUGGUGGCGAGUGGCGGACGGGUGAGUAAUAUAUCGGAACGUGCCCAGUAGCGGGGGAUAACUACUCGAAAGAGUGGCUAAUACCGCAUACGCCCUACGGGGGAAAGGGGGGGAUUCUUCGGAACCUCUCACUAUUGGAGCGGCCGAUAUCGGAUUAGCUAGUUGGUGGGGUAAAGGCUCACCAAGGCAACGAUCCGUAGCUGGUUUGAGAGGACGACCAGCCACACUGGGACUGAGACACGGCCCAACUCCUACGGGAGGCACAGUGGGGAAUUUUGGACAAUGGGGGAAACCCUGAUCCAGCCAUCCCGCGUGUAUGAUGAAG
rnacentral:rRNA from 1 species